CCAAUAGCGUAUAUUAAAGUUGUUGCAGUUAAAAAGCUCGUAGUUGAAUUUCGGGAUUAGUACGUUGGUCGUGCCUUAGGUACGUACUGGUGUUACUGGUUCCUACCUUCUGACGAACCAUCAUGUCAUUAAUUUGGUGUGGCGGGGAACCAGGACUGUUACUUUGAAAAAAUUAGAGUGUUUAAAGCAGGCUCGCGCUUGAAUACAUUAGCAUGGAAUAAUGAAAUAGGACGUUGACCCUAUUUUGUUGGUUUCUAGGAUUGACGUAAUGAUUAAUAGGGAUAGUUGGGGGCAUUAGUAUUCAAUUGUCAGAGGUGAAAUUCUUGGAUUUAUUGAAGACUAACUACUGCGAAAGCAUUUGCCAAGGAUGUUUUCAUUAAUCAAGAACGAAAGUUAGGGGAUCGAAGACGAUCAGAUACCGUCGUAGUCUUAACCAUAAACUAUGCCGACUAGGGAUCGGAUGAUGUUAUUUUUAAUGACUCAUUCGGCGCCUUACG
rnacentral:rRNA from 1 species